GACGAACGCUGGCGGCGUGCCUAAUACAUGCAAGUAGAACGCUGAAGGAGGAGCUUGCUUCUCUGGAUGAGUUGCGAACGGGUGAGUAACGCGUAGGUAACCUGCCUGGUAGCGGGGGAUAACUAUUGGAAACGAUAGCUAAUACCGCAUAAUAGUAGAUGUUGCAUGACAUUUGCUUAAAAGGUGCAAUUGCAUCACUACCAGAUGGACCUGCGUUGUAUUAGCUAGUUGGUGAGGUAACGGCUCACCAAGGCGAAGGUACAUAGCCGGCCUGAGAGGGUGAGCGGCCACACUGGGACUGGGACACGGGCCAGACUCCUACGGGAGGCAGCAGGAGGGAAGCUUCGGGAAUGGACGGAAGUCUGACCGGGCAACGCCGCGUGAGUGAAGAAGGUUUUCGGAUCGUAAAGCUCUGUUGUAAGAGAAGAACGAGUGUGGGAGUGGAAAGUUCACACUGUGACGGUAUCUUAACAGAAAGGGACGGCUAACUACGUG
rnacentral:rRNA from 1 species